GACCCGUCUUGAAACACGGACCAAGGAGUUUAAGGUGUACGCAAGUUAUUGAGCUUAAAUUUUUAACGAAACUCAAAAGCAUAAUGAAAGUGAAACACUUUAGUGUUUAUGAUGUGAAUAGUGGUUUUAAAUUUAAAAAAUUUACACUAUGCAACAUCACCCCAUGACUAGAACAUGUUCUGUUGUGGAGGUUGAGCGUACGCUUUGAGACCCGAAAGAUGGUGAACUAUGCCUGAACAGGAUGAAGCCAGAGGAAACUCUGGUGGAAGUCCGAAGCGGUUCUGACGUGCAAAUCGAUCGUCUGAUUUGGGUAUAGGGGCGCAAGACUAAUCGAACCAUC
rnacentral:rRNA from 1 species